rnacentral:lncRNA from 1 species
UAAAACCCAACAUGCAGCCCCUAUUCUCAGUUAUAUUCAAGAAAUAAAAAAAAGUGGUUACAAGAUUCUUACCUUCUCCAUUAAAUUUUAAUAAUGGCAGAUUGCUCCUGCUCCUAGCUUCGGUUUCUCCUAAAAUUGCAGCAGCUUUCACUCUUCCUCUCGGUUGAAGCUAAUCAGUGAAGAAACUAACAAAGUUUCUCUUCCUAUCCUUCACUUUAGCUCUCAAUUUUGGUCGGUUAAAGAAUGCAGAAAUGGGAAAGCUAUUAGGAUGCUCUGUUUUCUCUUUCGGUUGUUGCUGCCUAAGGAAAAAUUGCAGAGUUCUCUCUCUCACUCUCUCUGUUGGUACUCCAAAUGAGCUGAUCACUCACUUCCUCUUCAGUCGGUGGUGAUAAUACCAAAGUUC